rnacentral:rRNA from 1 species
CCCUUAGAUGUCCUGGGCUGCACGCGCGCUACACUGAUGUGUCCAGUAAGCACCUAACCUAUUCCGAGAGGAGCGGGUAACCUUAGCAAAGCACAUCGUGAUGGGGAUAGAUUAUUGCAAUUAUUAGUCUUGAACGAGGAAUUCCUAGUAAGCACAAGUCAUCAGCUUGUGUUGAUUACGUCCCUGCCCUUUGUACACACCGCCCGUCGCUCCUACCGAUUGAACGGUUUAGUGAGGGCCUCGGAUUGGUCUCGGCCCGCUCUUUACCGGGCGGCGCCGUUGGUCGAGAAGACGCUCGAACUUGAUCGUUUAGAGGAAGUAAAAGUCGUAACA